rnacentral:rRNA from 1 species
UACGGGGGGGGCAAGCGUUGUUCGGAAUUACUGGGCGUAAAGGGCUCGUAGGUGGCCAACUAAGUCAGACGUGAAAUCCCUCGGCUUAACCGGGGAACUGCGUCUGAUACUGGAUGGCUAGAGUUUGGGAGAGGGAUGCGGAAUUCCAGGUGUAGCGGUGAAAUGCGUAGAUAUCUGGAGGAACAUCGGUGGCGAAGGCGGCAUCCUGGACCGGUAUUGACGCUGAGGCACGAAAGCGUGGGGAGCAAACAGGG